CUAAAACCCCGAACACGGGCCACAGAGAAGGGAGAUCAGAAAACGUCUCACAGAAGCGUUGGGACUGUUGGAAUGGGUUCUGAAGUGGAAGGAGAAAGAUGAGCACACUGAGGUCCUAGAGAAGCCAAGAAAACUGACCAAAGCCACGUAAGCAAUAAGCGGUGGAGCUGGGUUUCGAACUCCAGCAGUCCGAGUCAAGGGUCCGCCGGGCGGGGGUUAGACUAUGCAGAGGACGAAUAACUCCUCCCUCACGGGGCUGCUGUGGGGAUUAUCUUGGUUCCUGGAUGGAAAGCCCUUGGACAAGCGCCUGGAGGAAGAGAAGCACUCAACGAAUAAAUGAUCCUUCUGGAGGCGGCGGCUCAGGCCGGCCGGAUGGUGCACAGGAUUUUACACGUGGGCAUCUGCUGCCGCCCGGUGGCCGCUUCGCUGUAUGACAUGCCGUGGAUUCGGUCCAGCCAAAUUCGCGAGGGGCGGGGCUGGUCCCGGCGCGGAGAAACGGCUGCAUCCGGGGCUGGGGCCCAAGCAAGGGAGGAGCUCCCAGAGCCGGGCUGGAGGGCUGGGUGAGGGCCUGUGUGGGCAGAGGUGCGGAAUCCUGGAGUGGAUUAACCGACUCACCUAUUCAGCCCUAGGUUGGCGACCCAAACCCUAAUGAGACGUGGUCCUUGCCCAAGAGGACCUCAGAGUCCGAUGGGGAGACAACGAGGAGGCGCCUUGGUGUCUGAGGAACAGCGAGGACUCCUGGGCCGGAGUCCCAGUCCUGCCACUUCCCGGGGACUUCACUGCCCGGAACAGCAGUUUCUUCGUAUAUCAAAUGGGGACAGAAUAGAGCCUGCCUGUGGGGUUGUGAAGACCAAAGGAAAACACUAAAUUGGCACAUUGUCAGCGCUCCAUCUGUGGCCAGAGGCAGGCUGCCCAGCCGGCUCUGAGCCUCAGUAAAGAUUAACCAAGCAGCCAGGUACAAUGGAAAAGAAGACCUGUGUCCCAGUUCCAUUGCUGGCACUAAACUUGCUAUGUGACCUUGGCAAGUCAUUUCCCCUCUCGGAGCCUGUUUCACCGGUCAUACAAGGUGAAGGUUGGACGAAAUCAGAUCUCUUCCUGCUCUAAUUUAUCAAGCCUCCUUUCUGGGCCAGCCCAGAUUUUUGGCCAUGGGGCAUACAGAAGAAGAUCCAGGCUUGCCCCGACCCGUUCACAUACCCAACCCAGAGCAUCAGCAAAAUGGACGUAAUAAUUCAAGCCCCAUCCAACCACAGGGUAGCUGGGAGACAACUGUGAGGCUCUGUCGAGCUAACAAUGUGGAAGCUGGUGAGAUGCAUGAAUUGCAGAGGAGUCUUGCUCCUUAAAGUGUGGUCCAUGGACAGAUAUCACCUGGGAGCUUGUUAGGAAUACAGACUCUUAGGUCCCACCCUGACCCACUGACCCAGGACCUGCAGUUGAACUCGGUUCCCAGGCUAUUCCUACACACAUUUAAAUGAGUUGGAGACACACUGGUCUGGGGCAGUGGUUCUCAACCUCGGCCACACAAGAGCAUCCCCAAGAAGUCUUCAAAAGUCCUCGUACCCAGGAUGUACCCCUGGGGGCUCUGGGAGUGGGACCCAGACACCAGUGGUUUUUAAAAGCUUUCCAGGUAAUUCCAAAGUGCAGCCAUAUCUAGUGCCACUAAGGCAAAUAUAUUUUCUCUUUUGUGCCAACUAAAAUGAAUGGAUAGUGACUUUCUAGAAUGUUCACUGAGAAAGAGCUGGUGUGUGCCAUUGGGGCUGGGUAGAAGCUGUGGCAUAAAAGCCAAGGUGUAGCAAGAAGCCAGCCUUUAUGGAGCCCUACUGGGUGCCAGGCCCUGGGCUACCUGCCCUACAAGUAUGCUGCAGCUUAAUCCUUGCACUAACCAGGGUGUAACCAUCCCCCAUAAGAUCCCCCACCCCAUCGCUCUUACAUUGGGCUCGGCAGAGACUCCUUUUGGAGAGAGCCCGCCAGCCUGGAGCAUCUUGGGUCACGUGCUGCCCAGUCUCGCUGACAGAUGUGCCCUGUCCCUGCUGCGUGGGGACCCGAGGAACUAAUCCCCAUAGCGGAGGGCGUACAUGGAUUAGUGCUGGGAAAAUCAGGCGCCACAUCUGCCAGCCCCUGGGGAGCUUGGGUGAAGCCUGCGCCACAGAGCUGGGGAAGCCACUCCUGUCCCCUGGAACACGGGGCACUCCCGGAGGCGCUGGCCAGCGAUGGCGGGACCUGAAUUGCCCUGUCCCUCCUGAGCCUUCCAGAAGAGGCCCGCUUGGACCUCUCUUUGCCUUCACUCCUCUGACUCAGUUUCCUGCUCACCGGGUUUCCUGGGCUGUAGACCUGAAUCCUCAGGGAGCAGGACUCUUGCACGCCUUGGAGAGAAUGAAGGCCCAGGUGAGGCACAGCCCCGUGAGGCCUUGCUCUAAGUAUUGGCCUAAAUCACCCCACAGCACCUUUGUCGUCAUCACUAUUUCUAGAGCUUGCACUGCAGGCUGGGGACAGUUUCAAGUGUUUUACGUGUAUUAAUUCAUUGAAUUCUCAAAACAAACCAGAAACUGCUCCUUUUCCCUUUCACAUGUCCGGGCCUGUGACUGGAGUGCCCCCAACUCGUCCCCAGCUUCCUGUUCAAUGGAGCUUGCCUCCCCGUCCCUCCGUGGGCUGAGCUCAUGGGGACCUCAGAGCCCCCAGAGCCCUCGCUGCACGUGAUCUCCUUACGUCUCUCUCCCAGAGAGAUUAUUACAACGCCAGCUACCACCCGGUGGUCGGUGGUCCGCUUUCAGGGGCUUUGCAUAUGCAUUCUUUCAUCUACCCUCACCUCAACUCUGUGCGGUGUGGGAACGAUGGCCACGCCCAUUAUGCAGACGAGGAAACUGAGACUCAAGUGAAGUCACCGCUCCAACAUCCUGCUGGCUCCCUGGGGGACGGAUGUUGGCCAAAGGCUCUGUGCCUUCGGAGUGCAGCACCAUGCCCAGCACACAGCUGGCCCCCUGGGGAUUGUUUCUGAAUGAAUGACCAGACAAGGAUGGCUGCCCCAGAGUGGGCAGUGAGAGAGAGAAAAGAGGUGGGGGUCUCUGGGCUGCAGACCACCCAGGGAGGGAGCUGGGGGAGCAGGGUUGUGGGUGGGCUGUGGGAGAGCCUGGCUCCUCCUGAGCCCUCCCCCGCCAGCGUUUUCCAGCUGGGAAGGGGGAGGGGAGGGAUUCCUAGCGGCUAUUGCGAGUCGAAAUGUGAGCAGCUGGUGACCAGCUUAGAGGUCAAACACUGACUCCACCUUUGGGUCUAUUGGGAUAAAUCCUGAGACUGGAGACAGACAUGAGAUGAGGCUGGGCCCCAGAGGAGGGCUAGAAAUUGGGGGUGCAGAGACCUCAGCCACAUAUUGGGGGGGUGCAUAGUACAGAGCUGCCAGCUCUGCCAUUCGCUGCCCAUGAUCUCAGCAAGUCAUUUAAUGUCUCUCAAUUUCAUUCCUCACCUGAAAAUGAGAUGACGACACCCUGGUUACUCAUGGGUGCCUGUAAAGGGGGGAUAGGCUGCCCUCCCCCAGAGGCCCGCACUGGGCCUGCCCCAGGGGCCCUCUGCUCUCGCUCUAGGGAGAGCACCUUCCAACCUCCCUCCCAUGGGAACCUACAACAACGCCAGAGAGCCCCAUUCUCUCCUCGUGGCUGAGGCACAGCCAUGUGUCUCAUGUCCUUCCUCCGACACCCAGGCGGGGACAGCCUAAUGCUCUUGGGAUCGAUAACAGCUUCGUUUUUUAAAAGAAACUGAGGCGUAGUCUACACGCAAUAAAAUUCCCUCUUUCUGGUAUACAGUUCUACGAGUUUUGACAAAUGCAUCCAGUCCCGUCACCACCACAAUCGAGAUAUGGAACAGUUCCAUCGCCUCCCCAAUUCCCUUCUGUUCUUUUCUCGUCCACCCCUCUCUCUACCCCCAGGCAACCAUGGAGCUGUUUUCUGUUUCCAUAGUUUUGCCUUUUCCAGAAUGUUAUGAAAAUGACGUUUGAGUCUGGCUUAUUUCACUCAUCAUGAUGCAUUUGAGAGUCCCCCA
ensembl:lncRNA